AGAAUCAACGCUGGCGGCGUGCCUAACACAUGCAAGUCGAACGAGAAAGUGGAGCAAUCCAUGAGUAAAGUGGCGUACGGGUGAGUAACACGUGACUAACCUACCCUCGAGUGGGGAAUAACCUCGGGAAACCGGGGCUAAUACCGCAUAACAUCUUCGGAUCAAAUGCGUAAGCAGCUUGAGGAGGGGGUCGCGGCCGAUUAGCUAGUUGGCGGGGUAAUGGCCCACCAAGGCAAUGAUCGGUAGCCGGCCUGAGAGGGCGCACGGCCACACUGGAACUGAAACACGGUCCAGACUCCUACGGGAGGCAGCAGUGGGGAAUUUUGCGCAAUGGGGGAAACCCUGACGCAGCAACGCCGCGUGGAGGAUGAAGCCCCUUGGGGUGUAAACUCCUUUCGAUCGGGACGAUUAUGACGGUACCGGAUGAAGAAGCACCGGCUAACUCUGCGCCAGCAGCCGC
rnacentral:rRNA from 1 species